GUACUUGCUUCGGCAGUACAUAUACUAAAACUGAAACGAUACAGAGAAGAUUGGCAUGGUCCCUACGUAAGAAAGACACGAAAAAAAAAAAAAAAUAGCUGGCACGG